rnacentral:lncRNA from 1 species
CUGCUGUGCUAGCAAUCAGUGAGACUCCCUGGGCAUAGGACCCUCCGAGCCAGGUGGGGGUUAUAAUCUCGUGGUGCGCCGUUUUUUAAGCCCGUCGGAAAAGCGCAGUAUUCCGGUUGGAGUGACCCGAUUUCCAGUGAGAUGAACCCGGUACCUCAGAUGGAAAUGCAGAAAUCACCCGUCUUCUGCGUCGCUCAAGCUGGGAGCUGUAGACCGGAGCUGUUCCUACUCGGCCAUCUUGGCUCCUCCCCGCCAAGAAUAUGACUGCAUUUGGAAAUAGGGACUUUAAAGAGGUGAUUAAGUUACAAUGAGGCCACUAGAGAAGACAAUUAUCCAUUUGGACUGAUGUGCUUAGAAGAAGAGCAUAUUGGUAAAAAGAGACACCAGAGGUACAACAGCACAGAGAAAGACCAUGUGAGGACAUAGUGAGAAGAUGGCCAUCCCAUCUGCAAGCCAAGGACAGAGGCCUCAGGAGAAACCAACCCUGAUGACACCUUGAUCUUGGACUUCACAGCCUCCAGAACUAACAUACUCAAGUGUCUCAGCUCAACAUUUGGAGAUGAGCCAUCCUCCUCUUAUUGUAAGAAAAGCUUGAAGGAGUAUUUUCACAGCGAUGGAACUGGAAGUUAAGGCAACUUCUAUCAGCAUCAAGAAAAGAAAAGAAGUAUUCACCACUUACGAAACAACAUCUCUCUUCUCAUCAAUAGUUUGAUUUACAGCAUCUACUGCAGAAGACCUCAAUAAUGCAUAAGAACAUCUGGAAGUACGGUAAUUUCAGCUAUCAGAGAUAAGAAUUGACACAGAACAGAACUGAAAGAGAACCUUUGAAACACCCUUUAGAUUAAGAGCCUGGCUUGUAAUCUGUAACAACAAACGGUAUUACAAUGAGAAAAAUAAAUGUCCUGUCAAGGCAUUCCUUCAAUGACAUCUUGUCACACAAGUCUAUAUCCAAGGCUGCCCACAAAGUGGAAAAAUGGGGAAAAUGUUAUUCUCCAGUCCCUGCAGUACAGGACCAAAAACUGAAGUGGAUGUCACUGUCUUCUGUCCUAAGAAAAAAGAGGAUAAACUGUAGUCCCAGCCACUCCGGAGGCUGAGGCAGGAGAAUGGCAUGAACCCGGGAGGCGGAGCUUGUAAUGAGUCGAGAUGGCGCCACUGCACUCCAGCCUGGGCGACAGAGCAAGACUCCAUCUAAAAAAAAAAAAAAAAAAAAAAAAAAAAGAGGAUAAAAUUUAGGACUCACUAUACGGACGGAAAUUGAAGGGAAAAAUCUCUGGAAGGUGAAGCCAUAAAAGCUGCAUAUAAACACCACAUACAUCCUUGUCUGAUGUCUAAUCUACAUAUGCAUCAUGAUUUUAAGGCGAAUGCCAUAGCUGGAAGACUGAAACAACUGAGCAGAGGUUCCAACUUUUUUCAAUUAG